ACGGCAGCGCACCUUUGGCUCGUUUCAAUGUUUGUAUUCGUCGCUAGGUGGUCUGUGGUUCUGAAUUAAUUUUUAUUAUUUCUUGUGUUUGUUGUACUGCAAUGAUUGAAGAUGAGUAGGUCAGUUUUCUGGAGAAAAUAGUGUCAAAUUCAUCUCCAACAAAAAAAAAUAGAGGCCUCCACCGGCGUGCGCACUGCCCGCCCAGUCCAGCUCCAGCGCCGCUCGAAUUGGUCCUCUCUCAGACGGCCGCCGGGACCCCGCCCCUGCGCCUCGGCCUCCACCGGCGUGCGCAGCCGUUCGAUCUAGGCGAGCACAGCGCACGCGCCGCCGGAGCAACAGGGGACAGGACGAGGCAUUGGUGACAGGGGCUGCGAGGGGGCGAGGCGACGGCGCCGUCUCCAUCGCCUGUUUCGCCACCGGGAUCCCACUCUACCACCGUUUCAUCCCGGUGCAUGCACGCCGCUGCCCUCCACGAGCCCACGCCGCCACGGGAACAUCAUCGACAGAUCACGGGACGCCGUCGCCAUUCGGCACCUGCCUUACAUAGUCUGAUGAUGCCCAUUUCCAAUUUACGGGAAAAUUGAAAUGCAAUGGAGGAGAGAACGCAAGACAUUUGCCAGUGAACAUUACAAUGUGCGUCCGAUUUUGAACGCUCUUUGCGAGAAGUUGCUGCAAUCAAACUGAACUAUGUUUACACAAGAUGCUUGGAGCCUAUGUGCGGACGCCUUGUCCGCGGAAGCACAAUAUCUGCGAUUUGGUCUCCAAUUGCCACAAAUCUGGGAUACAACAAACUAGCUGAUAGUAAAUUCUGAAGACAUGGAGGUAAUGGAAGUAAUGAACAAUGCCGGCAGAUCAUCUGGAGUAGCUGCAGCAGUGUUUGGUGGCAUGCGAGUUCCCUCAAAACUGAUACAUAGUACAUUUGAACAGUGUAAUCGAGAAGCAAAUAGAGGCCCUUCUGAGCUUA